UACGUAGGGGGCAAGCGUUGUCCGGAAUCACUGGGCGUAAAGGGCGCGUAGGCGGCGCGACAAGUCAAUGGUGAAAGCCCGAGGCUCAACUUCGGGUCGGCCACUGAUACUGUUGGGCUUGAGCACUGUAGAGGCAGGUGGAAUUCCGGGUGUAGCGGUGGAAUGCGUAGAGAUCGGGAGGAACACCUGUGGCGAAGGCGGCCGACUGGGCCGACCCUGACGCUGAGGCGCGAAGGCGUGGGGAGCGAACGGG
rnacentral:rRNA from 1 species